GGCACUCUUUAGACUUUUGUUAUUUUCCUUAACUCUCAUAACCUUCAUUGUUAAAGGUGUCUUUAUUUUUAUUUUUAUCUUUUUUUCUAUUUUCUUUUACAUUUGUUCUUGAUCCUCUUCCACUUAAGAAUGUGUGAGAGGAUGAAGUACAAAGUUUUUUUUUUUAUGAGUGAUGGUUAUUUCACUGGUAUGACCAUUGUGUAUGGAUUAUUUAUCAAAUAACCAAGGCCUUCCCAAUAAAAUAUGG
rnacentral:lncRNA from 1 species